GCUGUGCCCGGCCACGCGUUGCUGUGGCUUAGUCUGGUGGUGUUGGUCAGUUUACAUUAGUUGUAAUGUCUGAUUCUGCUGAGUGCGGUUUAUAUUUUUAUUGUGGUACAAUAGUCCUUUUUUUUGUUUUGCCUGUGUAGGUGUUUAUUAUUGUUGUUGUUGUUGUGGUCAUGAAGGUUGGAUAAGUUAGAUGCGACUGUAUUGUUUUUUGGAGGCCCAGUGUAGCACUGACUGGCCUCUCAGCCUCAGUGCCUGGCUGUUUCUUGCCUGUGAUGGUGUUGAUUCUUAUUGUUGUUGUUGUCAUUGUUAUUAUUGUAAUUGUUUUUUUGGAGACCAAGUGUGAAUGUAGGGAUUGGGGAGGUGGAUGAGUUGUGUUGUCAAAUUUUGUAUUUGUUAUAGUCACAAUGCGUUGUUGUGAGUUGUGAGGUUUUGUGGUGUAGUUGUGUUGUUACAACCGGGAGAAAAGGCUUUUGUGUUGUGUUGUCAAGUUUUGUAUUUCUGGGGCGUUUAGUUGUGUGCCAAGUUUUGUAUUUCUGGGGCGUUUAGUUGUGUUGUUAUAGUCAUGAUGCGUUGUUGUGAGUUUUAUGGGUCCGGAUUGUGGUUUUGUGGUGUGGUUGUGUUGUUACAACCUGGAGGGAAGGCUUUUGCGUUGUGUUGCCAAGUUUCGUAUUUCUGGGGCGUUUAGUUGUGUUGUUAUAGUCACAAUGCGUUGUUGUGAGUUUUGUGGGUCCUGUGUGGUUUUGUGGUGUGGUUGUGUUGUUACAACUGGGAGGCAAGGCUUUUGCAUUGUGUUGCCAAGUUUUGUAUUUCCGGGGCGUUUAGUUGUGUUGUUAUCGCAUGAUGCGUUGUUGUGAGUUUUGUGGGUCCGGAUUGUGGUUUUGUGGUGUGGUUGUGUUGUUGUAACCUGGAGGCAAGCCUUUUGCAUUGUGUUGCCAAAUUUCGUAUUUCUGGGAUGUUUAGUUUUGUUGUUAUAGUCACUGCGCAAACAA